CGUUGUCAAGAGUUUCGGCGACGGAACUGGAGAGCUAACGGCUACACCGCCACCUAGCUUGCUCCGAUGCAGUGUUUUCCUUUACAAAUGUUAAGAUACACUGUGGAUUUGUUGGAUGAGGAUGACUCUCAGCAACUGAGUUUACCAGAGCUGCUGCAAUCACCCAGGAUGAUGUGAACCUUGGGAGAGAAGAGGCAGCCCAACACCACAGACCCACUCAGACUGACGGAGAUGCACAUGGUGGUGGUCUGCACCUGGAAGAGGAAAGACAGCAGCCAGACCACCACCACUACCAGCUGGCAGGAGAUCAGAGCACCACAGAUGGCAACCUGGG